GCGUGAGGAACCUGCCCCAAAGAGGGGGACAACAGUUGGAAACGACUGCUAAUACCGCAUAAGCCCACGGGUCGGCAUCGACCUGAGGGAAAAGGAGUGAUCCGCUUUGAGAUGGCCUCGCGUCCGAUUAGCUAGUUGGUGAGGUAAUGGCCCACCAAGGCGACGAUCGGUAGCCGGACUGAGAGGUUGAACGGCCACAUUGGGACUGAGACACGGCCCAGACUCCUACGGGAGGCAGCAGUGGGGAAUAUUGCACAAUGGGGGAAACCCUGAUGCAGCGACGCCGCGUGGAGGAAGAAGGUCUUCGGAUUGUAAACUCCUGUUGUUGAGGAAGAUAAUGACGGUACUCAACAAGGAAGUGACGGCUAACUACGUGCCAGCAGCCGCGG
rnacentral:rRNA from 1 species